rnacentral:tRNA from 1 species
GCCUGGCUGGCUCAAUUGGCAGAGCUUGUGACUCUUAAUCUCCGUGUUGUGAGUUCAAGCCCCACAUUGGGUA